CCAGAUAGUUGAGCGACUGCUAUAAAAAGAAAUUUAUUUCGUUUUGUAGAGGAAAGUCCGGGCUCCACAGGAAUACGACGCCGGUUAACGGCCGGCAGAGGCAACUCUAGGGAUAGUGCCACAGAAAAUAGACCGUCUGUUUAUUAUUUAUACUACACAGAUAAGGGUGAAACGGUGCGGUAAGAGCGCAACGCGGCUCUGGUAACAGAGUUGGCAGGGUAAACCCCGUCGGGUGCAAGACCUAAUAGGAAAGAUAGAUCUCCGUUUUUAACGAGAGGUCGGGGGUAUUCCUGCCCCUCUUUCGGGUUGGUCGCGUGAGGGUGAUAGCAAUAUUACUCCAAGAUGAAUAGUCGCUUCGUCCUUAUGGACGGACAAAACCCGGCUUAUAGACUAUCUGGCUCU
rnacentral:RNase_P_RNA from 1 species